AGUGACCAGGUGAUUCGUUAUCUCGUUUCGAGCAACUCUCAUUUUUUACGCGUCUCCAUCUGACUUCUCUAUCAAAAGUUAUGGUCGUUUCAAGUUUUUUCAUACUAAUUUUUGCCAACUCCAAAUCUAUCACUCUUCUCUUCAAUAUUAGGACUCCUCCAUCAAAUAUCCAUUGAAUGAAGUUCCCACAAACCUUAAUCAACAUAUACAUGCAAAUAUUUAUUAUAAAAUUAAUUAAAAAAUUUAGGGAGACACCGUGCACCAGUCCUGACAACGUGUGUGUGGUGGGUGUUGUCGGUGUGUGGAGGGUGUUGUGUUGCCAUGCGAAGGUGAAGG
rnacentral:lncRNA from 1 species